rnacentral:rRNA from 1 species
UACAGAGGGGGCAAGCGUUGUUCGGAAUUACUGGGCGUAAAGCGUGCGCAGGCGGCUUUGCAAGACAGAUGUGAAAUCCCCGGGCUCAACCUGGGAACUGCAUUUGUGACUGCAAGGCUAGAGUACGGUAGAGGGGGAUGGAAUUCCGCGUGUAGCAGUGAAAUGCGUAGAUAUGCGGAGGAACACCGAUGGCGAAGGCAGCUCGCUGGGACGGUACUGACGCUGAGGCGCGAAAGCGUGGGGAGCAAACAGG